UCCAGUUUAUCCUGCUGGAGAGUGCUGCUAUCAAGAUUCGGAUAAACCAUGCAAGUUACUGUCGCAAGACAGGGCAAACUGCCGAGUAAUAUAUAGUUAACCUUCCCUUAAGCUCGGAAUAACCUCGGGAAACUGAGGAUAAUACCGAAUGGACAAUGGUCUCUGGAAUGAAUCAUUGUUGAAACGCAAGGCUUAAGGACGGGGCUAUAGCCUAUCAGGUAGUUGGUAGGGUAAAUGCCUACCAAGCCUAUGACGGGUAGGGGCGCUGAGAGGCGGUGCCCCCGGAAGAACUCUGAUACACUAGUUCUAGCCCUACGGGGUGCAGCAGGUGCGAAAAUUUUCCAAUGCACGCAAGUGUGAGAGAGGAAUCUUGAGUGUUUUUGUUAAUACAAAAACUUUUGCGUACUUUAAAAAGGUACGAGAAUAAGGGCUGGGCAAGAUCGGUGCCAGCAGCCGCGGUAAUCCCGACGGCCCAAGUGGGACUCACAAUUAUUGGGUCUAAAACAUUCGUAGCCGGCUUUUCAAGUUCUAUGUUAAAUUGCAAGGCUUAACCUCGCAGCUGCAUAGAAUACUGGGAGGCUAGGGACUGGGAGACGUAAUGAGUACAUCGAGGGGAGUAGUAAAAUAUGUUAAUCCUCGCUGGACUAACAAUGGCGAAGGCACGUUACGAGAACAGAUCCGACGGUGAGGAAUGAAGGCCAGGGGCGCAAAUUGGAUUAGAUACCCAAGUAGUCCUGGCAGUAAACCCUGCAUACUAAACAUUGUGAUCUCCUCGAGAGAUUGCAGUGCUGAAGCGAAGGCGGAAGUAUGCUACCUGGGGAGUAUAGUCGCAAGAUCGAAACUUAAAGGAAUUGGCGGGGGAGCACUACAACGGGUGAUCGCGUGCGGUUUAAUUAGAUUCUACACCGUGAACCUUACCAGGAUCGACUGCGGAAUGAAGGUCAGUCUGAAGGGCUUACCUGACACGCAGAGAGGGAGUGCAUGGCCGUCGUCAGCCUGUGUCGUGAGAUGAUCUGUUAAAUCAGUUAACAGGCGAGACCCGCGUGCGUUGUUGCUAACCUGUAAGGAAGCACACUACGCAGACUGCUUCAGUAAUGAAGAGGAAGGUGCGGGCUACGAUAGGUGAGUACGCUCCGAAUACCCUGGGCUACACGCGCGCGUCAAUGGCGAUAACAAUGAGAUGCAAUGCCGAAAGGUAAAGCUAACCCCCUAAAUAUCGUCCUAGUCCCGAUUGAGCCUUGAAACCCAGGCUCAUGACGUUGGAAUCCGUAGUAAUCGGACGUUAUCAGCGUCCGGUGAAUAAUGUCCCUGCUCCUUGCACACACCGCCCGUCAAACCGACCGAGUUACGUCUUGAUGAAGUUUUUGUUAGUAGAUUUAUCUAAAAAUAGGAAAUGAAUCUUGGCAUAGCGAGGUA
rnacentral:rRNA from 1 species